rnacentral:rRNA from 1 species
GGGACCCGCACAGCGGUGAUUAUGUGGAUAAUUCGAUGCAACGCGAAAACCUUACCUACCCUUGACAUGCUAGGAACUUUCCAGAGAUGGAUUGGUGCCCGAAAGGGAACCUGGACACAGGUGCUGCAUGGCUGUCGUCAGCUCGUGUCGUGAGAUGUUGGGUUAAGUCCCGCAACGAGCGCAACCCUUGUUGUUAAUUGCCAUCAUUUAGUUGGGCACUUUAAUGAGACUGCCGGUGAUAAACCGGAGGAAGGUGGGGAUGACGUCAAGUCCUCAUGGCCCUUAUGGGUAGGGCUUCACACGUAAUACAAUGGCGCGUACAGAGGGUUGCCAACCCGCGAGGGGGAGCUAAUCUCAGAAAGCGCGUCGUAGUCCGGAUCGGAGUCUGCAACUCGACUCCGUGAAGUCGGAAUCGCUAGUAAUCGCGGAUCAGCAUGUCGCGGUGAAUACGUUCCCGGGCCUUGUACACACCGCCCGUCACACCAUGGGAGUGGGUUGCACCAGAAGCAGAUAGCUUAACCGUAAGGAGGGCGUUUGCCACGGUGUGGUUCAUGACUGGGGUG